UUAGGAGGCUUUGAAUUGCAAUUGAAAAUCAAUGCCAAUAAAUUUAGAACCCAAAAUAUAGUAUAAUUAUAUAUCAAACAUUUAUAUACAUAUUAUGUAUAAAAAAGUCAAUAAUUUGAGUGAAUAGUAAUAUGUGAAUAAUAACCCCAAAGACAUAAGAAAUAAUAAUAUAAAUUAAUACUUUGCAUAAUUAAUGGCAUAUGAGAACCAAGAAGAAUGUUUUUGAGUAUAAUGGUUUAUGAAAACCAUUGCUGUGAAUUGUGAUGAAUAUGGGUGAUAUAAUGAAUGUAUAAAUUAUUAUGAAUGUAGAAUUGUAUUUUAGAAAUUUAUACUUCUGCUAGUAAUGAAAAUUAAAAAGUUAUAAAUUAUAACUGGAACAUAUAAUGAAAUAAUGAUACUUAUGAACCGUUUAAAGGUACUAAUGUGCCUAUGUAUUGUCUAGACACGUAUGUCAGAUUGGAUAGAUUGACAUGCCAAUAGUGUAUUGUUUUAGCAGUACUGCGCAAGGCUUUAUGCUUGUAUUCAUGGCUUUAUGCCUGCACUCAUGGCUUUACGCCCGUACUCAUGGCUUUAAUGCUCGAUUAUGUGUUAUCAUGGCUUUU
rnacentral:misc_RNA from 1 species